rnacentral:rRNA from 1 species
GAAUUUUGGACAAUGGGCGAAAGCCUGAUCCAGCAAUGCCGCGUGCAGGAUGAAGGCCUUCGGGUUGUAAACUGCUUUUGUACGGAACGCAAAGCUUUUGGUUAAUACCCUGGAGUCAUGACGGUACCGUAAGCAUAAGCACCGACUAACCACGUCCCAGCAGCCGCGGACAUACGUAGGGUGCAAGCUUUACUCGGACUUACUGGGCGUAAAGCGUGCGCAGGCGGUUUUGUAAGACAGAGGUGAAAUCCCCGGGCUCAACCUGGGAACUGCCUUUGUGACUGCAAGGCUAGAGUACGGCAGAGGGGGGUGGAAUUCCGCGUGUAGCAGUGAAAUGCGUAGAUAUGCGGAGGAACACCGAUGGCGAAGGCAACCCCCUGGGCCUGUACUGACGCUCAUGCACGAAAGCGUGGGGAGCAAACA